ACACUCAUUAGGGGCUUUUUAUCUUUUAGUAAGGAGUUUUUUGCUUGAUGCUUAUUCUUAUUGAGCAUUGAAACCAUCCCUUAUUUGAUAUCUUAUUCUCUUCAGUUUCUAGCACAGCUAUAUCUUAUGUUUUCCUCAGUUAGCCUCAAUACAGACAUUAUUUUAACAGCUUACAAUGAUAUAGCCAUAGAUAUACAGAGGAACUUGUUGAUUCUCAAAGGAGACUGAGAAGAAAAAAAUGAGGGUGAGCAUGUAAAAUGAAGUCAACAAGAGAUUUAAAAGGCAUUGGUGAUGCCCUAGAAGAGAUUAUCCAACAAAUAAAGGUGUUUUGCCCAAAUAUCUACUUUGUGUCUAACUACAUGGACUUUGAUGAAGAUGGUUUUGGACAGGGAUUCAAGGAGCUAGUUCAUACACACCUACAAGAACAGCUCCAUUUGUAAGAACUCCAGGUGUUUCCAGCAGCUUCCAGACAAAACCAACAUCCACCUGUUGGAAGUAUCCAUGGAGGAUCUCACUAUGGCUGAUAAGGUUACCGGUGUGGAGAGCAUUCAUUCUCAAGAUUAGUUUUUUACAUGACAAGGUGGAAGAGCAGCAGGAGCGCUGCAUGGACUCCUAUAACGUUGUGUAGGAGAAGGGCGAGAUGCUGGACGUGAUCUGUAACAGCACAUCCCAAACAGUGGGACUGGAUGGAAAUGUAGGACUACUGAGUGUGUAGGUGUGGGGCCAGGCACUACAAGCUGCAGAGAAAAGGAAGCCUCACCUAGAGGCCACCCUACUGGGAAAGCUGUUCCUCCCCAUGGGUGUAGAGAAGAGUCCAGAGUGAUGCAGCCGCUGAGCCCAUGCUCCACCCUUCUCCUUUCCCAUCAUCUUCUAUUGUGUUCUAGGAAGACUUGCCGAAAGCCCUGCCAGCUGGGGGGAAAUGAGUUUGAACACAGGACCUAGAAGAUAUUAGCAUUCUAGGGACCAACUGAUCCAAGGAUUCUUUUUUCCCCAAAUUUCUAAACAUCAGAAGCUGUUCUUCAAACAAAUCUAAUGUGUAAAACAUAAAAAUUCAAAAAUAAAAAUAAAAACCAAAACCAAACCAACACAAAAAGAGGUCCAAAAGAAUCAAUCUGAAGUUUGGUCAAAGAGAAUAUUGGUCAACUAUUACAACCCAAUGUUAAGAAGACAACUAGAUUCUUAAAAGUCUGAUUUGAAUGAAAACUUAACCAAAGAAGGUAAAAAUGGCAAGUAAUAUUAAAAGAUACUCAACAUUUUUAUUCCUUUAAUGCAAACUAAAACCACAAUAAGAUAUUAAUUUUUGCACAGAGUAGUUUAAAUUAAAGCACUGACUUAGAUGUGAAACAAUUGGACUUGUAGUUUGCUGUUGGAAGUGCAGAAUGAUAACCACUUUGUGAAAUAUUUUUGUACUUUCUCAAAAAAUUACAUGUGUAGUUACUCUAUGACAUAGAAAUCCAAUGCCUGCAAGUUUAUCAAUAGAAAUUAAACAUAUAUCUACACAACAAAUUUACAUGAGUAUUUAAAAUGGCUUUAUUAACCAAACCCCAAAACAACCAAAAUGCUCACUGACUGGUGAAUGGAUAAAUAUAUCGUGGUAUAUCCACAGAGUGGAGUACUCUACAACAAUAAAAAGAUAUGAACUUAUUUGAUAACAGCUCUCCAUCAAACAAGGUUUCUACAUUUCCAGUGCAACUUUUCCCCAGAUUGUCAUUUAAAGGAUGUUUGUAUGAAAAAAGCUUGGGAGAACAGA